rnacentral:ncRNA from 2 species
AAAAAUAUUGUCAUUUUAGGUGCCCUUUGGGGAGAAUAGGGAAGUUCGGUUUAAACCGACGCGGACCCACCACUGUAUUCGAUGAGCUUCGUAAAUCACUGGCACUAUGCUGGGAAGGUUACGGAUUAAGCGAUGAUUCGAUAGCCAGGAGACCUGCCUAAAAUGUUAACGUCUU